UUAGCUAACCCGCCUACAACGACAAUGCCUUCACAAAGUCCUGGUCCAGGUCCAGGUGUUGUUCAGUACUCCAAUCCUGAUCACUGCAAAAACCUGACACUUCACUAUCCGAAAGGUUAUGGCCGAGUCAUGAAUUCUACUGCAGGACUUCGGCUAUGUGAGUCAUGGGGAAUGGACUUGCCUACACUACGGUCAUAUGAUGGGGAUUUAAUCACCGGUCAUUGCUUAGUCCAUAUGCUUGAUGGUUGGCCUACUAGUGCUGCAUCGAAGGCCAAUACUUUGAUUGAAGGUGUUUUUAUUUGGAGGCCUAAACCCGCAACCAGUCAAGGAGAAAAAGUAGGCGUAUUCUAUCGGGGAGCAACUCAGGCUGAUAUCCGUAAUGAAAGAGAGCAUCACCGCACCGUUUGCGCUGAGUAUACAUAUUGCGAUCCCCCUACAGCAAAUGCCAGCUUCAGAAAUUUCGCAUAUGUUGGUGAUACCUUCAAUAGAGCAACAAUCGACUGUACCCAUCGAUACCGUCUAGCUGGUACCCUGCCUAUGAGAUGCAGGGGUGGAAACAAGUGGAGUUCU